rnacentral:tRNA from 1 species
UCCCCAGGGGUCCAGCGGCUAGAGGACUCUGCAUUUUCACUGCUGAGGGCACAGGUUCAAUUCCUGGUGAGGGAA